GACGAACGCUGGCGGCGUGCCUAAUACAUGCAAGUUGAACGCUUGAUUUUCACCGAAGCUUGCUUCACCGAAAAUCAAGAGUAGCGAACGGGUGAGUAACGCGUGGGUAACCUACCUAUCAGCGGGGGAUAACUAUUGGAAACGAUAGCUAAUACCGCAUAACAAUGUUGGAUGCAUAUUCGACAUUUGAAAGUACCAACUGGUACACUGAGAGAUGGACCCGCGUUGUAUUAGCUAGUUGGUAGUGUAAUGGACUACCAAGGCGAUGAUACAUAGCCGACCUGAGAGGGUGAUCGGCCACAUUGGGACUGAGACACGGCCCAAACUCCUACGGGAGGCAGCAGUAGGGAAUCUUCGGCAAUGGACGAAAGUCUGACCGAGCAACGCCGCGUGAGUGAAGAAGGUUUUCGGAUCGUAAAACUCUGUUGUUAGAGAAGAACGUUGCAUAGAGUGGAAAAUUAUGCAAGUGACGGUAUCUAACCAGAAAGGGACGGACUAACU
rnacentral:rRNA from 1 species